CCUACGGGGGGCAGCAGUGGGGAAUAUUGCGCAAUGGGCGAAAGCCUGACGCAGCGACGCCGCGUGAGGGAUGAAGGUCUUCGGAUCGUAAACCUCUGUCAGCAGGGAAGAACGGUCACUGUGCUAAUCAGCAGUGAAUUGACGGUACCUGCAAAGGAAGCACCGGCUAACUCCGUGCCAGCAGCCGCGGUAAUACGGAGGGUGCGAGCGUUAAUCGGAAUUACUGGGCGUAAAGCGGUCGUAGGCGGUAUGUCAAGCCAAGGGGGAAAUCCCCGCGCUCAACGUGGGAACUGCCUUUGAAACUGGCAAACUGGAGUGUGUGAGAGGAUAGUGGAAUUCCAGGUGUAGGAGUGAAAUCCGUAGAUAUCUGGAGGAACAUCAGUGGCGAAGGCGACUAUCUGGCACAUAACUGACGCUGAGGAGCGAAAGCGUGGGUAGCAAACAGGAUUAGAUACCCCAGUAGUC
rnacentral:rRNA from 1 species